rnacentral:sRNA from 1 species
GCCAGGCACAGUGCUGCACACUUGUAAUCCCAGCACCUCGAAGGCCGAGGCAGGAGGACUGCUCAAGUCCAGGAGUUCAAGGCCAGCCUGGACACCAUAGCAAGACCCCAUCUCAA